rnacentral:rRNA from 1 species
UACGUAGGGUGCGAGCGUUGUCCGGAAUCACUGGGCGUAAAGGGCGCGUAGGUGGCUCGGGCAGUCAACGGUGAAAGUUCGGGGCUCAACCCCGAAUCGGCCGUCGAUACUCCCGGGCUUGAGCACUGUAGAGGCUAAUGGAAUUCCGGGUGUAGCGGUGGAAUGCGUAGAGAUCCGGAAGAACACCGGUGGCGAAGGCGGUUAGCUGGGCAGUUGCUGACACUGAGGCGCGACAGCGUGGGGAGCAAACAGG